GGGUAUCCCUGAAAGCAUACCUCUCUGAGUAUCGUUUCACCACCACAUCGACGGCGUACUUUCGAGUACGUGUUUACAUGUCGGAAAAUGAGUUGUCUCAAUUGUUCUUGACGGGACGUAAUUGAGUCACUUGAAACGCAUCCCACUCCGUAAUCAGAUACGAUUCGAGUACACCCUAAAAAAGUGUUGCUUGACUAUUUGAUGUUCGAUAAUUGACCUUUGGUCAUUACACUAUCACAUCGAGUAGUAGUAACUGUUGUUACGAGUGAGUAAAACAAGGAACCCUAAAGGAUUCAUUUCCUUUUUGAUCUUGAUCUCAGAUGAAGUAAGAGAACCCGCCGAAUUUAAGCAUAUUAUUAAGCGGAGGAAAAGAAACUAACAAGGAUUCCCCUAGUAACGGCGAGUGAAGCGGGAAGAGCUCAAAGUUAAAAUCGGGGCACCUAGCGGUGCUUCCGACUUGUAAUCUAGAGACACUUUUUCAGCCUCGACCCGGGUAUAAAUCUUUUGAAACAAGGUGUCAUAGAGGGUGAGAAUCCCGUCUUUGACCCGGAGUUCGGGGCGUACGAA
rnacentral:rRNA from 1 species